GAUGAACGCUAGCGGCAGGCCUAACACAUGCAAGUCGAGGGGUAGAGUUAGCUUGCUAACUUGAGACCGGCGCACGGGUGCGUAACGCGUAUGCAAUCUACCUUGUACAGAGGGAUAGCCCAGAGAAAUUUGGAUUAAUACCUCAUAGUGUUAUGAUGUGGCAUCACAUUAUAACUAAAGUUCCAACGGUACAAGAUGAGCAUGCGUCCCAUUAGUUAGUUGGUAAGGUAACGGCUUACCAAGACAAUGAUGGGUAGGGGUCCUGAGAGGGAGAUCCCCCACACUGGUACUGAGACACGGACCAGACUCCUACGGGAGGCAGCAGUGAGGAAUAUUGGUCAAUGGGCGCAAGCCUGAACCAGCCAUGCCGCGUGCAGGAUGACGGUCCUAUGGAUUGUAAACUGCUUUUAUACAGGAAGAAACACUCCCUCGUGAGGGAGCUUGACGGUACUGUAGGAAUAAGGAUCGGCUAACUCCGUGCCAGCCGCCGCGGUAAUAC
rnacentral:rRNA from 1 species